rnacentral:rRNA from 1 species
GAAUUUUGGACAAUGGGGGCAACCCUGAUCCAGCCAUCCCGCGUGUGCGAUGAAGGCCAUCGGGUUGUAACGCACUUUUGGCAGGGAAGAAAAGGCUCUGGCUUAUACCUGGAGCUGCUGACGGUACAUGCAGAAUAAGCACCGGCUAACUCCGUGCCCGCAGCCGCUGUAAUACGUAGGGUGCAAGCGUUAAUCGGAAUGACUGGUCGUAAAGCGUGCGCAGGCGGUACGGCAAGAAGGAUGUGAAAUCCCAGGGCUUAACCUUGGAACUGCAUUCUUAACUGCCGGGCUAGAGUAUGUCAGAGGGGGGUAGGAUUCCGCGUGUAGCAGUGAAAUGCGUAGAGAUGCGGAGGAAUACCGAUGGCGAAGGCAGCCCCCUGUGAUAAUACUGACGCUCAUGCACGAAAGCGUGGGGAGCAAAC